rnacentral:rRNA from 1 species
AUUGAACGCUGGCGGCAGGCCUAACACAUGCAAGUCGAGCGGAUGAAGGGAGCUUGCUCCUGGAUUCAGCGGCGGACGGGUGAGUAAUGCCUAGGAAUCUGCCUGGUAGUGGGGGAUAACGUCCGGAAACGGGCGCUAAUACCGCAUACGUCCUGAGGGAGAAAGUGGGGGAUCUUCGGACCUCACGCUAUCAGAUGAGCCUAGGUCGGAUUAGCUAGUUGGUGGGGUAAAGGCCUACCAAGGCGACGAUCCGUAACUGGUCUGAGGGGAUGAUCAGUCACACUGGAGCUGAGACACGGUCCAGACUCCUACGGGAGGCAGCAGUGGGGAAUAUUGGACAAUGGGCGAAAGCCUGAUCCAGCCAUGCCGCGUGUGUGAAGAAGGUCUUCGGAUUGUAAAGCACUUUAAGUUGGGAGGAAGGGCAGUAAGUUAAUACCUUGCUGUUUUGACGUUACCAACAGAAUAAGCACCGGCUAACUUCGUG